rnacentral:rRNA from 1 species
AAACCCCAAGUCAGGUGGGAUUACCCGCUG